rnacentral:rRNA from 1 species
UACAGAGGGGGCAAGCAUUGUUCGGAAUUAUUGGGCGUAAAGGGCGCGUAGGCGGUGCGGUAAGUCACUUGUGAAAUCUCUGGGCUCAACUCAGAGUCUGCAAGCGAAACUGCCGUGCUUGAGUGUCGGAGAGGUAAGUGGAAUUCCCGGUGUAGCGGUGAAAUGCGUAGAUAAUCGGGAGGAACACCUGUGGCGAAAGCGGCUUACUAGACGACAACUGACGCUGAGGCGCGAAAGCUAGGGGAGCAAACAGG